ACCGUCAGUGAUGAUUUAUUUACCUACAUUGCUUGAGUUUAACGACCAUGAGAAAACCUCACAUGCACUACCAUCUGAGACGGU